AUGCUAGUCGCACGGGUUUAGACCCGUGGCGGAAAGCUCAGUAACACGUGGCCAAACUACCCUGUGGACGGGGAUACCCUCGGGAAACUGGGGUCAAUUCUCGAUACGGCUCGCACGCUGGAGUGCGGCGAGCCGGAAACGUUCCGGCGCCACAGGAUGUGGCUGCGGCCGAUUAGGUAGACGGUGAGGUAACGGCUCACCGUGCCAAUAAUCGGUACGGGUCAUGAGAGUGAGAGCCCGGAGACGGUAUCUGAGACAAGAUGCCGGGCCCUACGGGGCGCAGCAGGCGCGAAACCUUUACACUGCACGACAGUGCGAUAGGGGGACUCCGAGUGCGAGGGCAUAUAGUCCUCGCUUUUCUGUACCGUAAGGUGGUACAAGAAUAAGGGCUGGGCAAGACCGGUGCCAGCCGCCGCGGUAAUACCGGCAGCCCGAGUGAUGGCCGCUAUUAUUGGGCCUAAAGCGUCCGUAGCCGGCCAGACAAGUCCGUUGGGAAAUCGGCGCGCUCAACGCGUCGGCGUCCGGCGGAAACUGUCUGGCUUGGGGCCGGAAGACCUGAGGGGUACGUCCGGGGUAGGA
rnacentral:rRNA from 1 species